UACAGAGGAGCCAAGCGUUGUCCGGAUUGACUGGGCGUAAAGCGCACGCAGGCGGUGGUGCGCGUGGGGGGUGAAAUCUGGCCGCUUAACGGCCAGGCGCCAUCCCAUACGGCACGACUGGAGGGCUGCAGAGGUCGAUGGAAUUGCCGGUGUAGUGGUGAAAUGCGUAGAGAUCGGCAGGAACACCCAGGGGGAAACCAGUCGACUGGGCAGCACCUGACGCUGAGGUGCGAGAGCGUGGGGAGCGAACCGG
rnacentral:rRNA from 1 species